rnacentral:tRNA from 1 species
GGAAAGAUGUCCGAGCUGGCCGAAGGAGCACGAUUGGAAGUCGUGUGUGCUUAACCGCACCGUGGGUUCGAAUCCCACUCUUUCCGUAU